AGAAUAGAAUAGAAUAGAAUAGAACAGAACAGAACACUUUUUAGCAGCAGGUAAAUUGUGCAUGGCCCAACGGCAACAGUGCACAGGACAAUAGUGAGUAAAAAUAAAAUUUAAAUAAAAAAUAACAAUAUUAAAAAGACUACAUUUCUUAAGUUUAUCACAUCCUGUAUGAUGUUUGAAAAAAAGUAGUUGCUGUAUAAAUCCAGAGCAAUGGAUUGUCCUGCACUAUAUAGUCUUUUAGGGGUUAGGAGGUGGUUUCCAGGAAUUUGGGGAAUAGUCAUAUUUGGUUAAAUGAAAGAUGAAGGUAAUUGUUAAAUACUUAUGUAGUGCUUUUCUACCUUCUUCGAAGGCCCAAAACUCUUUACAGCCACAGUCCCAUUCACUGCACCACAACCGCCCCCGUGCAUGCAGUGCAAGGUAUACACGCACAGCAUCAUGGGUAUAGAAACCAACACAAAUGGGCUUCCAUACAACUUUUCAAAGAUCUAAGUGUUCUUCACUUGUUUUGUCUUCACAGGAAUUUACAGGUGAGCUGAUUCAAAACAGAUUCAGGCGGAUGGAUUUCCCAAAGAAAAAAAAUGAUGGUGGAAACUCCACCGCUAAGAGCAAAACACCUCAACUGUUUUAACCCCCUCAGGACAGUCGACCUGUUCCACAUGUAGGUCAAAAGAUCAACGGGAUUUACACCAAGGAUCUACUACCUACUUCUAGCUUUAAAAAGCAAUUUUCAAGUAACAGAUAAAGUGUUUAACGAGACCUAGCAAAAAUGCACUUGAAUGCAACUAGCGAUCAAAUAAAAAGGGACCAAAUGACAGCCAUUAGAUUUUUUUCUACCACGCUUUUGCAUUUGUGUUGGGAAGCCUUUGUGGCUACAGCCCAUUAGCAAAAGAUUGUUUCUAGGUGCAACAAAGCACAAUGUGAUAAACGCUCCUUUUUCUGCAGAAUUAUGUAUCAAACCAGUUUAAAACAUGGCUAUAAGUUAUGUAUGAAUUGCAGCAGCACCUGAUGUCAAGACUCUGAUCAAAUGACGGGAUGAUGAUGUCACAUUCGCCAAAAAAGGGACAACUCCAGACUAACUAAAGACAGAAAAAACAAGACCCCCACCAGCCGUGAUACCAGUAACUCCUGGCUCUAACAUGGAGACUUACGUUAACCCAUUAACGAUGAAGCCGUCGCCGGUGACAGCAGAAUAACACGGUCCUAAAAGUGACUCUCUGCCUGACAGACAAUCCAUCCAUCCCACUGAAACAUGAGUUCACUGACGGAAGCUGCUGGACUCCUCUGCAGGCGCUCAUAAGAACUAGGUCAGUCAAUAAAGCUAACAAACUGAUAAACUCCAUCGGAGUUCAUCUGCAGCCGUUUCCUUCGGCCCCAACCGUGAGACCCGCCCCCCUGCAUGCGUCCCAUCUGCACAAAAGUUUCAACCUCUGCCUGCAGGACACUUAAGUUUUCCGUUUACAGACGCAGAACUGUGUUUUUGUCAAAAAAUAAACGAGUU